rnacentral:rRNA from 1 species
UACGUAGGGUGCGAGCGUUAAUCGGAAUUACUGGGCGUAAAGUGUGCACAGGUGGCCGCGCAAGUCGAGUGUGAAAUCCCCGAGCUUAACUUGGGAAUUGCGCUCGAAACUACGUGGCUCGAGUGUGGCAGAGGAAGGUGGAAUUCCACGUGUAGCGGUGAAAUGCGUAGAGAUGUGGAGGAACACCGAUGGCGAAGGCAGCCUUCUGGGCCAACACUGACGCUCAUGCACGAAAGCGUGGGGAGCAAACAGG